CACGUAGGGCGCAAGCGUUGUCCGGAAUUAUUGGGCGUAAAGAGCUCGUAGGCGGUUUGUCGCGUCUGCUGUGAAAACCUAAGGCUCAACCUUGGGCUUGCAGUGGGUACGGGCAGACUAGAGUGCGGUAGGGGUGACUGGAAUUCCUGGUGUAGCGGUGAAAUGCGCAGAUAUCAGGAGGAACACCGGUGGCGAAGGCGGGUCUCUGGGCCGUAACUGACGCUGAGGAGCGAAAGCGUGGGGAGUGAACAGG
rnacentral:rRNA from 1 species